GAGACUAGAUAGUAAACAAUGAUAAGAUAUGUUAAUUGCAUUAUACCAAUGCUAGCAUAUUCUAAUCUAAUCCAUAGCAACAACAGAUGAAUAUAACAUUAAGGGCAUGCCAAUCUUCUAUUAGCAUAAUAAACUAGAUGAGAGUAUGGAACUAGCUUAAGUUUAACAACAAUUCUCAUCCCCAUCAGGUGUUAUACGUCCAAAGUGCAAAAUAACAUCAUUUAAUGGGAUACACGAGCAAACAUAAUUGUGAUGUUUCAAAUAGAAAACACUCAUUUCUUCCCACUUUUCUUCAGUCCAGUCCCGCCAAAGGAACCCUUUUGUGAAGCCUUAGCUCUCAGCUCCUUGAGUGCCUAAUCAAAAUUUGAAAUAUUUGUAAUUAUGCUUUCGAAGUUUAGUCAAAUCAAAUGUUAGUAUAUGAGAAAGAAAAGGUUAAAAGCCUCACCUUUUCCUCUUCUUUCUUCUUCUGCAGAUUCGCAAGAUCAUUCUGCCAAAGUAUAACACAAAACACAUUAGAUUAAGGUCAACCACAAUCCACAUGAACAUCAAGAUUGGCUAACAAUGGUUGAAUAUAUAUGAACAAAGGAUGGCAGAGUGGACGGGUGAUGCUUUUUAAGCACCAUAAUUUCAUGGUCACCGGGUUCACAAGUGUUUGAUCAAUCAUGUUUUCAAGUCAUUAUAAAGCUCCCAUUGUUAAAAAAGACAAUCAGUAUACCGGUGAGAGGUUGGCAUAAAAUUCAUAAUCAGCAAGACAAGUGUUAAAGAAUGGAAUUACACACAAACUUCUCUUUCAUAAAUCCUGUUUCUUUUUCAAAACCUACUGUAAAUUAAGUCUUUUUGUUGCAUCAUAUGUAAAAUAGUCUCCUUUUGUUGCUAAUGAUGGUUAUAGUAAAUAAAUCCUCUUGGAAUUUUAUAUUUAGCUCAGUUAAAGCAUACAACAACAAUAACUUGUUGAUCUUGUAAUUAAAAUUGAAACUUUGCAAAACCAUGGCUACUUUGAAUUGGUUUUUAAAAGAAAAUGAAAAAGCGGAAACUUGAGAUUGCAAAACAUAAAAAAAACAAAGACAGAAAUUCUAAUAAAGAAUUAAAGUAUAGCUAAACAACAAAAAUAACAAUAAUAAUAAUAGUAAUACCUCGUCGUAUUCCUUCUUUUCAGUCUUGGGUUGCUUCAAAGGUUUGGCCUUUCCACCUAAAUACAACAAAACCAUACAUAAGCUUUUUUGUUUAUAGCUCAAUUAACGAAAAACAAAAAAGCAUAUAAUCUAUCUAGCUAGGGUUUCUAUAAUAAUCUAUAAAAGAAAAAACAAAGGUUGAGAUCAGAAGAUUGUGUUACCUUGCUUUGACGACAUGAUAUGAUUGCUGUAAGAAAGAAGAAGACGCGCAGAGAUACUUUUAAGGCCCAAACCCCAGAAAAUAGUUUUGAUUCCACAAAAUAGUUUUGAUUCCUUUACAAGCUC
rnacentral:lncRNA from 1 species